rnacentral:rRNA from 1 species
UACGAGGGGUGCAAGCGUUGCUCGGAAUUAUUGGGCGUAAAGGGUAGGUAGGUGGUCUUAUUUGUCUGGGGUGAAAUCCUUGGGCUUAACCCAAGAAGUGCCCCAGAAACGGUAAGACUAGAGUCCUGGAGAGGGUCGUGGAAUUCCCGGUGUAGCGGUGAAAUGCGUAGAGAUCGGGAGGAACACCAGAGGCGAAGGCGGCGACCUGGACAGGCACUGACACUAAACUACGAAAGCGUGGGGAGCAAACAGG